CCCUUAACCGAAACUAGACUGAAUGAAAAAUGUCUGGUCCGGGCCAUUUUUCCGGUCCGGACUGGCCAAAUCUCACCCAGUUUCCCUUGGAAAUGGCUUCAUUUUAUAUACUUCCUUCCACAGAAACUCUCCUCUCCCUCGAGUUCGAAUGCUCUGCGCCUCUGCUCUGCCUCAGAAUCUGAAGCCCGAAAACAAAUCAUUUUCCACUGCUCUAGCUCGCAGCUCCCUCUCUCUCGCUUCUGCCUCACAUUUCUCCCUUGCUGUAAAGAAGGAUUUCUCAGUCUCACAGGCUCCAGCUCACAGUUAGCUUGUUCUCUCUGUCUCUCUCUCUGACCGAAGUUGAAUGAGGUCGAUAGAAGAUUACUUGAAGUACUUUUGGACCAAAACUAGCUAAUCCAAAGGUUAAUCAUUUUCAUGAAGACCAAUCCAACUCUGAAAGGACGUCAAAAUUUGCUUGGGGUGAGGAAACAAACGGAAGAUGAGGUGUCAAUGAGUGGUGCUUCGGUUUUUACAUAUGAGGUGUUACUAUCUGGCUUACAACAAAGUGGUAUUUCAAAAUUAUGCAGUUGUGAUUUUUACGUAUUUGUAAUAACAUUCCUAAUAUGGAAACACCUGAUAUGGAAAAUGAGCAUAACAGAUAUGAAGACUGAAAAUUUAACAAAGAGAUUGCAGGCUAAUUUAUCUCCAUCUCAUCGAAAGUCAUAGAAUUAAUUAUAGUGCAUAAUUUGCUUCUUGUAAUUUGUUAAGUAUUUCCUUGUGUAGAAUACACAGUUGUCCAUUACCUUAUAUAGUUUAAUACAGUUGUUCAUUAUGUAAUACAUUUUUAAUAUAAAUACAAUUCACCUUCCACAGUUGAAGGUGUGGUGAGAUUUCUCAAUCAUCAUCUUACGUAGUUUUCUUCUUGGUAUAAGAGAAAUCAGAUUGUGAGGAGGGCUAUUUUUUUUUCUUUUCACAAAUAUGUCCUUAGUAUCAUUGAAUGUUAGCAACUUUGUCACACUCAGGCUUAAGUCCGAAAAUUAUCCUCUCUGGCAUGAGCAAGUUCUUGCUCUAACAAAUAAUCAAGAACUUGUGGCUUAUCUUACGGGUGAAGUCACUAUCCUUAAAGCUGUACUUCCAUAUCCAGAGGAUUCCAACCAACAAGUUGUUCCUAAGCCAGAAUUUAUUAAAUGGAAAACACCUGACCAUCUACUUAGAGGUUGGAUAAUUGGCACCCUAUCUAAACAGGUCUUUCGAAUUGUAAUAGGGCUGAACACCUAGGCACAGGUAUGGAAUGCCCUCAAAGAAGCCUAUGCUCAAUCUUCUAAGGAGCAUCAAUUCCAACUCACACAGUAACUUAACUACAUGAAGAAAGAUCCUUGGAUGUCCCUGAAUGACUACCUAUGUAAAUUCAAAGGUGUGUGCGUGAUAGUUUAUCUACUAUUGGCUUUCCUGUUGAUGAUAAAAACAAAGUGUUAUCUUUGUUAAAUGACUUGGGAGCAAAGUAUGAGCCAUUUACUACAUCUAUGCCCAAACCCCCCAUGCCAAGUUAUGCAGAAGUCAUGCCCUUAUUGCAAAGCUAUGAAACACGAGUUAGCUUGCACUCCCCUGACUCAGCAGCAUAUACUGCCUUUUUUGGUCAUAAAAGUAACUCAAAAUUCAACAACAAGGGCUCUCACCAAUCGGGUAGUUUCUCAUCAAAAGGUAAAGUGUUUUCUCCUGCUAAUCAAGCAACUGUGAAACAAAAUAACCAAGGUUCUCCAAUUGUUACCCAUAAGCCUAACUGUGAUUUUCUAUGUCAAAUCUGUGACAAAUGAGGCCACACUACAAUUUCUUGUUGGCACAGGUUUAAUCACUCCAUUAAGCUUGACAACUUGCCAAAAGCAUUUGCUGCUCUCAACAUUAAUUCAGAGACUAACAAUGAUGCAUGGGUAUCAAAUACAGGAGCUUCAACUCACAUGACUUCUCAUGAAGGAUCGAGUGACACAAAGGAGUCUAAUGAAGGGAAUCAAGCAGGAUAAUCUCUACACCAUUCAGGCUUCACUAGCUGCCUUCAUUUCAACGAGAUUUCGGGCAGUAACAAGGGACUUAUGGCAUCAAAGGCUCAGGCAUAUUUAAGCAGUUGUUGUAGCUAACCUCCAAAGCAAUGGUUUUAUUAAAGUAUUGUCCAAAAAGUUAGAAAAUAAAGUCUCUGAGAGUUGUCAGUUAGGGAAGAUAUCCAAACUUCAUUUUUUUGUUUCAGUAUCUAGUACAAUUGCUCCCUUUAAUAUGCUUCAUAUUGACUUAUAAGGGCCUGCUCCUAUUAUUUCAA